rnacentral:rRNA from 13 species
GUUGGGUAGGGGAGCGUUCUGUAAGCCUGCGAAGGUGUACUGUGAGGUAUGCUGGAGGUAUCAGAAGUGCGAAUGCUGACAUAAGUAACGAUAAUGCGGGUGAAAAACCCGCACGCCGGAAGACCAAGGGUUCCUGUCCAACGUUAAUCGGGGCAGGGUGAGUCGACCCCUAAGGCGAGGCUGAAAAGCGUAGUCGAUGGGAAACGGGUUAAUAUUCCCGUACUGGUGGUAACUGCGAUGGGGGAACGGAGAAGGCUAGGUUGUCCGGGCGACGGUCGUCCCGGUUCAAGCAGGUAGGCAGAGUGAUUAGGCAAAUCCGGUCACUUAAUGCUGAGAUGUGAUGACGAACCACCAAGGUGGUGAAGCAAUUGAUGCCCCGCUUCCAGGAAAAGCCUCUAAGCUUCAGGUUACCAACAAUCGUACCCCAAACCGACACAGGUGGUCAGGUAGAGAAUACUCAGGCGCUUGAGAGAACUCGGGUGAAGGAACUAGGCAAAAUGGUGCCGUAACUUCGGGAGAAGGCACGCUGGCGGUAGGUAAAGUCCCUCGCGGACGGCGCUGAAGCCAGUCGAAGAUACCAGCUGGCUGCAACUGUUUAUUAAAAACACAGCACUGUGCAAACACGAAAGUGGACGUAUACGGUGUGACGCCUGCCCGGUGCUGGAAGGUUAAUUGAUGGGGUUAGCCGUAAGGCGAAGCUCCUGAUCGAAGCCCCAGUAAACGGCGGCCGUAACUAUAACGGUCCUAAGGUAGCGAAAUUCCUUGUCGGGUAAGUUCCGACCUGCACGAAUGGCGUAAUGAUGGCCAGGCUGUCUCCACCCGAGACUCAGUGAAAUUGAACUCGCUGUGAAGAUGCAGUGUACCCGCGGCAAGACGGAAAGACCCCGUGAACCUUUACUAUAGCUUGACACUGAACAUUGAGCCUUGAUGUGUAGGAUAGGUGGGAGGCUUUGAAGUGUGGACGCCAGUCUGCAUGGAGCCAACCUUGAAAUACCACCCUUUAACGUUUGAUGUUCUAACCUAGGCCCAUAAACUGGGUCGGGGACCGUGUCUGGUGGGUAGUUUGACUGGGGCGGUCUCCUCCUAAAGAGUAACGGAGGAGCACGAAGGUUGGCUAAGCAUGGUCGGACAUCAUGCGGUUAGUGCAAAGGCAUAAGCCAGCUUGACUGCGAGAGUGACGGCUCGAGCAGGUACGAAAGUAGGUCUUAGUGAUCCGGUGGUUCUGAAUGGAAGGGCCAUCGCUCAACGGAUAAAAGGUACUCCGGGGAUAACAGGCUGAUACCGCCCAAGAGUUCAUAUCGACGGCGGUGUUUGGCACCUCGAUGUCGGCUCAUCACAUCCUGGGGCUGAAGUAGGUCCCAAGGGUAUGGCUGUUCGCCAUUUAAAGUGGUACGCGAGCUGGGUUUAGAACGUCGUGAGACAGUUCGGUCCCUAUCUGCCGUGGGCGUUGGAAGAUUGAGAGGGGUUGCUCCUAGUACGAGAGGACCGGAGUGAACGCACCACUGGUGUUCGGGUUGUCAUGCCAAUGGCAUUGCCCGGUAGCUAAGUGCGGAAGAGAUAACCGCUGAAAGCAUCUAAGCGGGAAACUUGCCUCGAGAUGAGUCUUCCCUGUCGCUUUAAGCGACCUAAAGGAACGUUUAAGACUAAGACGUUGAUAGGCUGGGUGUGUAAGCGUAGCGAUACGUUGAGCUAACCAGUACUAAUGAACCGUGAGGCUUAACCUGACAACACCGAAAGUGUUUUG